rnacentral:rRNA from 2 species
AGUGGGGAAUAUUGGACAAUGGGCGAAAGCCUGAUCCAGCCAUGCCGCGUGAGUGAUGAAGGCCCUAGGGUUGUAAAGCUCUUUCACCGGUGAAGAUAAUGACGGUAACCGGAGAAGAAGCCCCGGCUAACUUCGUGCCAGCAGCCGCGGUAAUACGAAGGGGGCUAGCGUUGUUCGGAAUUACUGGGCGUAAAGCGCACGUAGGCGGACUAUUAAGUCAGGGGUGAAAUCCCGGGGCUCAACCCCGGAACUGCCUUUGAUACUGGUAGUCUCGAGUCCGGAAGAGGUGAGUGGAAUUCCGAGUGUAGAGGUGAAAUUCGUAGAUAUUCGGAGGAACACCAGUGGCGAAGGCGGCUCACUGGUCCGGUACUGACGCUGAGGUGCGAAAGCGUGGGGAGCAAA